rnacentral:rRNA from 1 species
GAGUUUGAUCUUGGCUCAGAGCGAACGCUAGCGGCAGGCCUAACACAUGCAAGUCGAACGGCUCUUCGGAGCAGUGGCGGACGGGUGAGUAACACGUGGGAACGUGCCCAAAGGUACGGAACAACUGAGGGAAACUUCAGCUAAUACCGUAUGUGCCCUACGGGGGAAAGAUUUAUCGCCUUUGGAGCGGCCCGCGUUGGAUUAGGUAGUUGGUGGGGUAAAGGCCCACCAAGCCUACGAUCCAUAGCUGGUCUGAGAGGAUGAUCAGCCACACUGGGACUGAGACACGGCCCAGACUCCUACGGGAGGCAGCAGUGGGGAACCUUGCGCAAUGGGCGAAAGCCUGACGCAGCCAUGCCGCGUGAAUGAUGAAGGUCUUAGGAUUGUAAAAUUCUUUCACCGGGAAGAUAAUGACGGUACCCGGAGAAGAAGCCCCGGCUAACUUCGUGCCAGCAGCCGCCGCCGUAAC